rnacentral:rRNA from 1 species
GAUGAACGCUGGCGGCGUGCCUAACACAUGCAAGUCGAACGGAGUAUAUAUUAUGAAGUUUUCGGAUGGAUUAAUAUAAACUUAGGGGCGGACGGGUGAGUAACGCGUGGGUAAGCUGCCUCAUACAGGGGGAGAACAGCUGGAAACGGCUGCUAAAACCGCAUAAUAUUGCGAAAUCGCAUGGUGAUGCAAAUAAAUAUUUAUAGGUGUGAGAUGGGCCCGCGUCUGAUUAGCUAGUUGGUGAGGUAAUGGCUCACCAAGGCGACGAUAAGUAGCCGGCUUGAGAGAGUGACCGGCCACAUUGUGACUGAGACACGGCCCAAACUCCUACGGGAGGCAGCAGUGGGGAAUAUUGCACAAUGGGGGAAACCCUGAUGCAGCGACGCCGCGUGAGUGAAGAAGUAUUUCGGUAUGUAAAGCUCUAUCAGCAGGGAAGAAAAUGACGGUACCUGACUAAGAAGCCCCGGCUAACUACGUGCCAGCCGCCGCAGUAA